CAGUGUAAUCGUCACCGCACGCCCAUGUGGAUUGCGUCACGUUGCGUCAUUACAAACCUAAUAUGUUACUUAUUCUGUGACGUGUUGUUACUACCUUAAAGUGAUUUUAUUUGCUUACAUGAAUUGUAAAAACAAUACAAAGUGAACAACAAACAUAGUAAAAGCAACACAAAAGAACUACCAUAGGUUUAAUUGAGAUCAUUUUUCAUUUUUAUGCACUAAACGAUAUUCAGCUACACAUAAUGCAAAUGUCCUGUGCUACUGUAAGGGAGUGAAAUAUCAUAGGCGAGUCGAGGCAAUCCGGCAUCCGUGUUCAAGCUACGGAUAGGCGGUGGCAAGUUGUUCCAGAUUUUGCUCGCGGAGUACCGGAAACUGCCUCGAAAACUAGCGGAGCUGUGCUUAUGCUGUUUGAGCAUGUAUGUGGUCGCCCUGGUACCAUACGAGGUAUUUUCGUCUCUCGCCCAUCGCAGUUUUUUGUAAAGGUACAAGGGUUCCUUAUUUUUUAUAAUGCCAAAUAAAAGUGUUGCUAAAUGUAA